UCUCUGGUAGUCCAAACAAGUCACAUGACAUCAAAUUGGUAGGUAUAAUACCUGCCUUGCAAGCAGGUGGUCCGGGGUUCGAUUUCCCGCGAGUCCAGACGAC